rnacentral:rRNA from 1 species
UACGGAGGAUGCAAGCGUUAUCCGGAAUGAUUGGGCGUAAAGGGUCCGCAGGUGGCAGUGUAAGUCUGCUGUCAAAGAAUGAGGCUUAACCUCAUCAAGGCAGUGGAAACUACACAGCUAGAGUACGGUCGGGGUAGAAGGAAUUCCAGGUGUAGCGGUGAAAUGCGUAGAGAUCAGGAAGAACACCGGUGGCGAAAGCGUUCUGCUAGACCUGUACUGACACUGAGGGACGAAAGCUAGGGGAGCGAAUGGG